rnacentral:lncRNA from 1 species
GAUGUGGAAACGAUGCAUGAGGAAUCAGAUGGCUUUGGCUCGUCCCUGGAGGCAUCCAUGAGGUGAUGGUUUUUUUUUUCUCAGAAGAUGAUACUACAUAAGGAAAGAGCGCUAGAAAUGCUUUUGGGUUUUAAGUAUAAGUGGAGAAAAGUAGUAAGAAGAUGAGAGAGAGAUGGGUUUGGUCUGGUUUUGCUGACACACAACACACACAUACACAAAGACAGAACAAAACACUUGAAGCUGAUUGGAACUCUCCACCAUCUAAUACCUGUGUUUAUCCCUUUUAUAGGAGCCAACUUUCACUUCACAUCAACCUUUUUAUUUGUCUGCUUUCUCCUUUAAUAGACAAACCUCUGUUCUCUAUUAUGCAUUAUUUUACUUUAUUUUUUUCUUCUUCUUCUCUAUGUCUUGUGCCCUUAUAUGCUUAAUAGUUCUUCAACUUGCAUGUCAUAUACUUCACCAAAAAAAAACUUACAUGUCAUAUAUGUUUUCUUAUAGUUUAUAACUGUGCUUGAUAUUUAUCAUCGAGUGGACCAUUGUGACCAGGAUAAAUCUGGCUCUGAUUGAUAGAUGAGUUGUUUCCUAUGGACAGAUUCUCAUAGGGGCCAGGGCCA